rnacentral:sRNA from 1 species
CCGAUCGGCCGGAGCCCGUGCGCAGCGGGGCGCGCGAGCUCGCGCUCUUCCUGACCCCCGAGCCUGGGGCCGAGGCGAAGGAGGUGGAGGAUACCAUCGAGGGCAUGCUCCUCAGGCUGGAAGAGUUUUGCAGCCUGGCUGACGUGAUCAGGAGUGAUACUUCACAGAUCCUGGAGGAAAACAUCCCAGUCCUUAAAGCCAAACUGACAGAAAUGCGUGGCAUCUAUGCCAAAGUGGACCGGCUAGAGAUUCUAGCACUGCCUGCAUUCCUCAGCUCGUGGCCCCUGCCUCCCCUUUCAAAGCCCACGGAGUAACAUCUUCCUGUCUCUGUUGCUGGCCCUCCUGCCUCCCUCCUGUAAGGACCCUUGAGAUUACGUUGGGCCUACCUGGAUGAUUCACGGUGACCUCCCAUUCCAAGAUCCUUAACUUAAUCACACCUACAGGAUCCGUUUUGCCAAGGAAGAUGACAUAUUCACAGGUUCUGGGACUAGGACACGGACGUCUCUGGGAGCCGUUGUUCUGCUGCCCACACUUAGCCAGGAUUUGCUUUCAUUAGGC